AUGUCUUUCUGGAUUAGGGUUCCCUCCUCUCUGAAGGAGACAUUUCUAGAAAGUUCUAGGGGACACGGGGCUCCCACCACUGUCCUGCUGAUUCCAAACGCUGCUUUCUCCCAAGUCGGGCUCAGGGGUGAGCUGGGAGCCCGGGGACCCCCACACCCCAUCUGGCUUCCGGUCCCCUCCGGGGGCAGCCAGCCAUCACCCCAACAGACCCUCGGCUUCUUAGGGACAGGGAGCCCGCGACUUACCUGGGUUCCAGCCCUGGGCAGUGGCGAGGGCCAGGGCAGGAAUGAAUUCAGUUCAGUUGACCUCAUUCCGGGGCUGGGGACCCCACUUCUGCCCCCACCUGGCUGCCAUGUUUGUCUUGGGUCUUUAGGGGUAGGGUGGCGUGACACCCCAAGACCACUCAGCCUCCUGCUGCCAUUCCAGCCAGUGCCCAGCGCCCACACACACGGCGCCCCCAGAGCGCCACACUCCCCGAGCCGCAGAGAGCACCCGCACUUUCUCUUUGUGCUUAGAGCAGUCCUGGGCUCAGAGAGGGAGAGGGCCCUGCCGGAGGUCACACAGCCUGGGGGGAGGGAGCGUGGGACUCCAGGCCCUUGGUGCGGACGCGGGGGGUGGGGGGACCUUCUGAGCCCCCAGCCGGGAGGGAUGAGGGCUGCAGGGUCCCGGCUCAGUGCAGGGGAUGGGAGGGACCUUCUGAGCCCCCAGCCGGGAGGGAUGAGGGCUGCAGGGUCCCAGCGGGGUCUGAGACAGGAGGCCGAGGCAGUGCGGGCAGCCGGUGCAGCCAGGGGGGAGCCCGCUGCUGCCCCAGGCCUGACAGGCGUGGCAGGAUUGUCUCAGGCCUCCUGGCUGAUGCCACACGCCAGGGCUGCGGGGGGAGAGGGGCCCAGAGGAGGGAGGAGGUUGCGCUGGGCCACAGGGAGUCAAACCCAAGCUCUUUCUCUUGCUACCGGGGCUCAGGCACUGAGAGCUCUGCCGCCCGUCGGGUUUCCCUUUUUGCGCGGCUGCCAGGAAGCUCAGAGGCCGUUCGUAAACCACCUGGGCUCGUCCUGUAAGCCAGCCAAAAUCCUCCCAGAGGCAGGGCAUGUUGUCUUGGUUCCAGUCACGUGCCUGACCCCGUUCCCUGCCUGGUCACACGCGGGGUCUUGUUGGAGCACGUGGGACAGACAGCCAUGCCCUUUUAUAGAUCUGGACACAGAGACAGAAAUCAACUUGGCCAAAGUCACAGAGCUCCUGUAUGACAGCGGCAGAAUUCGAACCCAAGACUCUGGGGCCCUCCCAGCCAAGAUCCGUCCUCUGCAGACAGGCAUGCUAGUGCCACUGGACCUGGCCCCGAGCCCCAGGGCCACCCUCCUGCCCACGGAUGUGCCCAGUGCCUGCCACUUUUCCUCACUGGCCGGGGGAGCACCCUGA
rnacentral:lncRNA from 1 species